rnacentral:rRNA from 1 species
UAUGGCAUUACCAUCUGUGUUGAUUGGGUUUGUCGCCUUAAUUGGCCUCUUAUGACCCGUCAGCCAUUGAUUUGGUGUAGGUAUAGAUUCCUCAACUUGAUUGAUGAGUCUCUUCGAGGCUGAGCCCACUCCUUCAGAGAAAGGGCCGUCCAAGCCAUCUAAUCCAAAGGAGAGGACUUCCUUUGUCAAUUCGGCAAAGAUCGGAGCUUUAGUCUUCUUGGAGAUCUUGCGGACCUUGCGCAUAGCCUUAGGGAUAAGGGAUCCAGAGGAGAGGACUUCCUCAUACUUGGCUUGGUCAAACUCUGUGACGAGAGUUUCAAUGGUUGUUCCAGCAAUAUGGACAUCAGAUUGGGACACCACUUCAUCGUCAGAAAAGAAUCUAAAAUGUUUGAAGAUUUUGAAGAUGAUUCAUGGGCAAAACAUUUUAAAAAAUAAUAGGAAUCACGAUAAAGUGGUUAAAAUCAACAUAGAUGACGAAGUUAAUCUCAAGCCCAUCUUCAUCAGUGAAUGUCUAUCAUCCAUCGAGAAAGAAGAGCUUAUAAUUCACCUUCGAGAAUACAUUGAUGUUUAUGCUUAGAGGUGAGCUUGGAAGCAGCCAUCCUUUGAAGAAAGCGUAAUAGCUCACUAGACUAGCUCAAUUGCACCGAAAAUGUCUCAGGGCUCAAGUGAUUCACUGAAGCGAUGACACCUUGAAAGCUACUUUUUCAAGUGUCAGUAGCAGGAUGUUCUGUCAAUCGGGGAAGGUUUUUGGUGAUAACACCUAGAGAUAUCAGAAGUGAGAAUGCUUACAUGAGUAACGAGAAAUCCUGUGAAAAACACGAUCGCCUGCCAGUUGAAGGCUUUCUGCAUUCAGUCAAUCUACGCAAAGUGAAUCGGUCCCUAAGGAACCCCUGAAAGGGCUGCCAUCUGAUGGGUACACAAAUGUGACGAAGUUGCUUUGACUACUAAACCAUGCCUGUCUGUUGGAGUGAAUUGGAUGAUCGAGCUGAGGGCUGCCCCUCUUCCCCUCACUCUCCUUUCCCUAAGAUGCAACUUGAGUCAUCAAAGCCUUAACUAAUUCAGAGGGGCUCGGCUGGCCCGGUCGCCCUACGCUACUGGCGCUUCCAAAGGCAAAGCUCUCGUCUUUAGCAACCAACAAACAGAGGCUCUUUGAUGACCUUUUGUUUUGAAGAAGGGGUGGCUUUUUUCUCUCUAAAGGUGAAGGCUCUGAAGUGGGAGAACACUCGGCCUAGCAGGCGAACACUCGGCCUAGCUGGCGAACAUAUUGGACUCCAGCUCCACGCACCUACGGACACCUUUCGAAGCACUUUCACAUGUGAACCGAAGUCGUGUUGCGUCACUCAUUCCUUUCUCAUUUCGGUGCUCACCUUUUUCUCAGUAGGGGCCUUUAUUUGAUUAGAGUAGGGGUCGUGAGAGAGUAGAGCGUACCACCCUACCAUAGUCAUGAGGAUCUUUAUAGUCGGUUGCGACUGUUGUCAUAGUCAACUGAUCGUACCCCAAACUGACACAGGUGAACAAGUAGAGUAUACUAGGGUGCAUCAAGAGAACCAUGUCAAAGGAACUCGGUAAAAUAACCCUGUAACUUCGGGAUAAGGGGUGCUCUCUUAUCUUUUGAUUAGGAAAGCGACACAUACCAGGGGGUAGCCACUAUUUAUUAAAAACACAGGACUCUGCUAAGUAGUAACACGAUGUAUAGAGUCUGACACCUGCUCGGUGCUGGAAGGUCAGAAAGAUAAGUGUAAUAAACUUUGAAUGGAAACCCAGGUAAAUGGCGGCAAUAACUCUAAGUGUCCUAAGUUAGCAAAAUUCCUUGUCGCAUAAGUAGCGACAUGCGUGAAUGGUGUAACGACUGCCCUGCUGUCUCUAACAUGGACUCAAUGAAAUUAAAUUCUCUAUGAAGAUGCAGAGUACUAGAUGGUAAGACCCCGUGCACCUUCCUGAUUAUAGCUUCACAGUGACAACCUUGAUCGAAUGUGUAGGAUAGGUGGGAGGUGGUGACACACAACGACCAAUCCUGAAAGACCACUCUUUCAUCUAAGGAUGACUAACCACCGCACCGAUCAUUCGGGUGGGGGGGGCACUACGAGGUGGGUAGUUUAUCUGGGGCAGAUGCCUCCUAAAGAGUAAUGGAGGUGUGCGAAGGUAGGCUCAAGCAUUGAUUCUACUCAUGAGCAUAAUGGUAUAAUCCUGCUUGACUGUAAGACCAACUGGUCGAACAGAGACGAAAGUCGGCCAUAGUGAUCCGGGAGUCCCGUAUGGAAGGGCUCUCACUCAACAGAUCAAAGGUACGCCGGGGAUAACAGGCUGAUGACUCCCAAGAGCUCUUAUCGACGGAGUCGUUUGGCACCUCGAUGUCGACUCAUCACAUCCUGGGGUUGAAAAAGGUUCCAAGGGUUCGGUUGUUCGCUGAUGAAAGUGGUACGUGAAUUGGGUUUAGAACAUCAUGAGACAGUUUGGUUCCUAUCUACCGUUGGUGUUAAAGGGAGAACUGCGAGGAGCCAACCCUAGUACGAGAGGACUAGGUUUGGUCAACCUAUGGUGUACCAGUUGUUAUGCUAAUAGCAGCGUCGGGCAGCUAAGUUGGUAUGGAAGAACUGUUGUGCUACGGGAAAUCCUUCUCUAUACAAGUUCUCGUAUGAGGUUUUUGAACAGAACUUCGAUAGGCGAGAGGUGUAAGCACCGCGAGGUAUGAAGCGAUCUUGUACUAAACGAAUUUCACUUUCCAACUG